rnacentral:rRNA from 1 species
UACGAAGGGGCUAGCGUUGCUCGGAAUCACUGGGCGUAAAGCGCACGUAGGCGGCUUCUUAAGUCAGGGGUGAAAUCCUGGAGCUCAACUCCAGAACUGCCUCUGAUACUGAGGAGCUCGAGUCCGGGAGAGGUGAGUGGAACUCCGAGUGUAGAGGUGAAAUUCGUAGAUAUUCGGAAGAACACCAGUGGCGAAGGCGGCUCACUGGCCCGGUACUGACGCUGAUGUGCGAAAGCGUGGGGAGCAAACAGG